UCAAGUGAUAGGUGCACAACAUUGUA
rnacentral:piRNA from 1 species